GCCAAGGGAGAUAGGGCGGGGCAUCUGACCCCACCCUGCGUGGUCCAUACUGGUCCAUACUGGUUUAUACUGGUCCAUACUGGUUUAGACUGGUUUGAACUGGUUUAGACUGGUUUAUACUGGUUUAUACUGGUCCAUACUGGUCCAUACUGGUUUAUACUGGUCCAUACUGGUCCAUACUGGUUUAUACUGGUCCAUACUGGUUUAUACUGCUCCAUACUGGUUUUCCAGCCCUGGAACUGGGCCCGGAUUUGCCGUCUGGCCCCGCCCUGGCUGGUUUAUACUGGUUUAUACUGGUUUAUACUGGUUUAUACUGGUUUAUACUGGUUUAGACUGGUUUAGACUGGUUUGAACUGGUUUAUACUGGUUUAUACUGGUUUAUACUGGUUUAUACUGGUCCAUACUGGUUUAUACUGGUUCAUACUGGUUUUCCAGCCCUGGAACUGGGCCCGGAUCUGCCGUCUGGCCCCGCCCUGGCUGGUUUAUACUGGGUUAUACUGGUUUAUACUGGGUUAUACUGGUCUAUAAUGGGUUAUAUGGGGCUAUACUGGUUUGUACUGGUCCAUACUGGUUUAUACUGGUUUAUACUGGUUUAUACUGGUCCGUACUGGUUUUCCAGCCCUGGAACUGGGCCCGGAUCUGCCGUCUGGCCCCGCCCUGGCGCGCUGGCUGGGGGAGCCGGUGCGGGCCGUGCUGCUCCCCACCCGCCUCUUCCUCACCAACAAGAAAGGAUUCCCAGUGCUGGGCCGGGGCCACCAGCGCCUGCUGGGACAGCUGCUCAAGCUGGACGUGCAGAUCAUCGUGCAGGGAGCCCCCCGGCACGGCGGACGCCCC
rnacentral:lncRNA from 1 species